rnacentral:rRNA from 1 species
AAUCCAUAGGUUAAUGAGGCGAACCGGGGGAACUGAAACAUCUAAGUACCCCGAGGAAAAGAAAUCAACCGAGAUUCCCCCAGUAGCGGCGAGCGAACGGGGAGGAGCCCAGAGCCUGAAUCAGCAUGUGUGUUAGUGGAAGCGUCUGGAAAGGCGCGCGAUACAGGGUGACAGCCCCGUACACAAAAGCGCAUGUGCUGUGAGCUCGAUGAGUAGGGCGGGACACGUGG